rnacentral:rRNA from 1 species
UACGUAGGGUGCGAGUGUUAAUCGGAAUUACUGGGCGUAAAGCGUGCGCAGGCGGUUUUGUAAGCCAGAUGUGAAAUCCCCGGGCUUAACCUGGGAAUGGCAUUUGGGACUGCAAGGCUUGAGUGCGGCAGAGGAGACUGGAAUUCCUGGUGUAGCAGUGAAAUGCGUAGAUAUCAGGAGGAACACCAGUGGCGAAGGCGGCUUCCUGGACACCAACUGACGCUGAGACGCGAAAGCGUGGGGAGCAAACAGG